ensembl:lncRNA
GUCUCAAUAACUUCUGAUCCCUAACUCUCUCUAUCCCUGUCUGGUUCCAACUCUCAACUGUCUCAUCUAGCUGUCCCAACUGUCAUUCUGACUCCGCCCCUCCUGCUCUAUCCUCUAAUUGACAUGCAGGAAUGACGUCAUACUUUGGGUUCUGUUACACCAGCAAUGAGGGAUUAUGGGUUUUGCAAUUGAACAACAUCUGGAUGGCCAUACCUUCCUCACUUUUGUGUGACAAGGUCAUUUUAAAAAUAAUUUAGGCCCAAUUGGAAGGGCACUUAUAUAUGACAAUGCUCACAGCGGCCACCAUUUUGUUUAAAAUUGGACUUCUCCAGUGUGAAUACAAUUUUGUGAAGUCAAAGGAGAUACAUAAGAUGAUAUAUUUUUUAUUACAAAAGAAAACUCCAAGGUGCCUCUCUAUUUCCUGCUUUAGCAAUAGGAGAAUUGAGACUCAGGCAAAACUGAUGUUGAGAAGUAGCAGAAGAGAAGGGCUCCUUUAUUUUGAAUUUCCCAAAGAGAGGGGGAAGAGAGAGAGAGAGAGAGAGUACAAUUGCACUGGACUAAUAAAGAUUAUGUAACUAUGAAUAGGACUAUGCUGUAAACAUGUUGUUUGUAAAUGUUAAUAUCAUGAAAGGCAAUGUGUUUCUUCGGCUCUCUCACACUUCUAGUAAUGCCGUAUAUAGGGAGGAGAGUGGCCAGUGGGGUUGUGCCUUAGUGUUUACUUGAGUUGGAAGUUAAGGCAUCAAAAGCGAGCAUAUCAUAUAUUGAAUGAGGGGGAGUUGAUCAGAUUUGGGGGGUGGGGUGGAAGUAUGCUUUUUUGAUUCUAUAAUGACUUUUUUUACCUGUUUAGGAAUAUACAAAAAUUCUAUUCUAUAAGAGAAUUCAAUAGGCAUAAAUUUUGCUAUUGCACACACUCUGGCAUGAUAUAGAAAUACACCAAAAUAACAGGAAUGGAGAUGAAAUAUUUUCAGAUUUCUCUCACUUAACACAUUUUAUCUGAAGUCCAUCUGCUUUCUUGUGCCUACUUGGGAAUGCACAACAUCUCUGCCUUGUAAGCUGCCAAACUGAACAGAGAGUGGGAGAGAAUAUUAAAAUGACACUUUUGAUCCAAACGGUGCCUCUUUAUUAAAAUGAAGGCUCCAGAUUGCCUUCAUUUUGAGAGCCUGAAAUGUAAGCUGCUAAGGGCCAGUGGGCUAUUAAAAUAAUCAGAGAUGAAUAGUGAAGACAGACCUUGUAUGAGGCUCCUUUUCAGGUCCCUGAAAGAAGCCACAAAAUGGAGACACCAUAGAGCUUCAUUUCAAGUCCCUGCGUACAGGACUGUAGUGGGCAAAAUAUCAAAGAGAAUUUCACUGAUUUAAAUGCCAUUUAGAUGAGGGAUAAAUGAAGGGAAGUGCUUCUGAAUAUUUUUGGCAUAGCCGAAAGGCACUACCCUGUUCCAACAUACAGAGAGAGGGGGGGUUGUAAUUAAAAGCUUCCUGAAGUAAUUAAAAGCUUCCUAUCCCUUUUUUAAAGAUCCCUAGAGCUCCCUUUUUGCCUUGGGGAAGCUUUCCGGAACCUCAGGGUGUUGAGGGGAAAGCCCUUAAUAUAUAUAUAUACAGGUCCAUCCAGCAAAUCCUGAGUCUUUUGGAGUCUUUCACUUCUGAUUUCUGGUGCUAUAGGAAAUUAAGCCAUACAGAACCCUUAAGACUAGUCCAAAAAAGCAAUAGACAAUCCUUUACUCUAAAUGGGCAACAAUGGUAGUACAUUGGGGGGGGACUAUCAUCCACAGAGCAACUCAGGCACUAACAAUACUUUAAUAUUUAUUUAUCAUCACAUCACUAUCCUGAUCUUCAGUUCAUCAGCAGGACACAGUGUAUUGAGAAAGAGAAAUCAUCAUCGUGAUUGUAAUCAAAAUAAAGGCAAUAUUAUCACACUUAGGGCA